ensembl:lncRNA
AGCUCAGCUGGUAAAGAAUCCGCCUGCAGUGCAGGAGACCCCAGUUGGAUUCUUGGGUCGGAAAGAUCCACAGAAGAAGGGAUAGGCUACCCACUCCUGUAUUCUUGGGCUUCCCUUGUGACUCAGCUGGCCAACCACAGAGAGACACUGGGGGGACCUCAGGUCUGAUGAAUCCCCUGGAAAAGCUGGAGCCAUCCCAGAAGACCUGACAGAGUUCCCAACAGCUGGGGCAACGAGUCCUUCAGAAGGAGGAUCUGGUGCUGCAGUGCCCUGACCCCACGAUUUGACUCAUGGCUCUCACCUCCCCCACCUGCUCCAAGCACAGUCCCUGGAGAGAAGGAAACAUAGAGACUGAGCCAACCCUGUAUCCUUUGCUUCCCUUCUCCCACCCUCAACAACCUCCAAGUGCCGCCUACAGACCCCAGGGCUAGCUGAGUUCAGAGG